rfam:Crassostrea gigas strain 05x7-T-G4-1.051#20 contig18063, whole genome shotgun sequence.
CCAACGGCCCUUUUCAGGGCCACCCCCACAUCUUUAGAAAAGAUGU